GUUUUAUGUCCUCUGCAGGAUUUCAGGAGCUUUGGAAUAUUUUGCUUCCUUUUCCUAUGAUGUGUUUUAUGAGAUUUUAAUUAUUAUUGUUUAUUAUUAUUGUGUUUUAAUUGUCUGCUUGGGUCCCUCCGUGCUCUUGAGUGAGCAAUUUAUAAAUAUCAUUAUUUUUAUUAUUGCUAUUAUUUGUACAGCUUUCUCAUAUCCUUCACAUCUCCCCUCUGCCCCUUUACUCUUUUACAGGCCUAUAUGUUAUGUUCCUUUAUGUCUCCUCAUAAGUCAGGCCCUCCAAACCCUCUUGUCUUUGUUUCCACUUGAUUUUAAUGCUCUUUUGUUUUUCUUUCAGGGAAGAACUGUAAACCACGUUCCCAACGCUGGAGCUCAGCGCUGGAGAAUUCCCCUUUGGGGUAGCCCUGCAGCAGCAAAGGGACCAACCUUGGGCUGCAGCAGGCAGGCAGAGCCCACAGAGCUGGGCUGGGGAAGGACCACAGCCCGAAAUGGAGCCCCACAAACCCACAUGGAGCCCCUCACCCAGCACAGGCAGAGCAAGGGCGAGUGCCCAGCUGCACCCAUCAGGGAGCCUCUGGCACCACCCAGGGCACUGGGAGCAGCUGAGGCUGUACUGGGGAUUUAAUGAGGGGUGGUUCCCGUGAUAAAGAAGCUCUUGGUGGCUCCUGGUUCCUUUCUCCCAUGGGUUUGUCCCAGCUGCAGUGGGUGAUGAGGUGCUGGGUGCUCCCCAGGAGUGCGUGGAGCUGCCAGGUAGGGGCUGGGGAAGCAGGGGGUGAGUGCUCCUCCUUGCAGAGGGCUCACACAUGCCCAGAGCCACCAAGCUGCCUGGCAACCAAGUCUGGCUGUUUCAAAAAGGGCUGAAGCUUUGCAGGUACAGAAACGUGCUGUGCUCCUCUGCAGGAAACCUGGCGUCAGCAUCUCCCCAAACUGGAUACCCCACUGCAAACAGGCAUCAGGCACAAGGACUAACCUGCGAUAAGCGCCACGCUCCCUCCGCUAUCUUGAGCAGCUGGUAGCGGAUUCAUUUCCCUGCCGAGCACAGGGCUCGUUUCUGGUGGCUCUAAUGAGGAGGAAGGCAAAUCCAGCCUGGCGAGCAAGUGUCUGUUACACCUCUCUCGAAGAAAAGAUUUUUAGAGAUGGAUUAAAUGGGUUUGGGGAAAAUGUCUUCGGGAUUGGAGAUACAAAUGGCUUUUUGAGCAAAACAAAAGCAUUCAUUUUUAAAGCCCAAACUGUUUCAUUAAACAUGUUCAGGCUUUGUUUGUUUAUGUCAGAAGUGAUAGGCUCGUUCGGGCCUGAAAAUUGAAAACUUUUAAGUGUUCUAUCUUGGACUUUCAAUGAAAAAGCAAAUCCUUUUCAAAGGUGGUAUGGAAGAAUAAGAACAAUUAAAAAUUUAUUUCCUGGGAGAAAAAACAUUAUUAGAGCUAUUGAAAAAGGAA